rnacentral:lncRNA from 1 species
AUGAAAAUAUAAGUGGAGAGGUUCUUUGUAGUAAACCUCUAUUAAGUAUAAGGUAAAUGUUCAGAGCAAUACUUUUCUACAUUAUAGUGUCACAAGGAAAUAAUUAUAGUUAAAAGUAUAUUAAAAUAAAAUAGUAUAUUAUUUUACUAAUUGUACUUUUAUGUAAUGAAAUACAGUACAUUUAAAAAUUGCUAGGGCUGGGCUCAAUGGCGCAUGCCUGUAAUCCCAGCACUUGGGGAGGUCGAGGUGGGUGGAACACCUGAGGUCAGGAGUUCGAGACCAGCCUGACCAACAUGGAGAAACCCCAUCUCUACUAAAAAUACAAAAAAUACAAAAAAUACUUAGGAGGCUGAGGCAGGAGAAUUGCUUGAAUAAGGGAGGCAGAGGUUGUGGUGAGCCAAGAUCUUGCCAUUGCACUCCACCCUGGACAAAAAGAAAAAAACUGCCUCCACCCCCCCCAAAAAAGUUAGAUUAUGUGUGAACUUAAUUUUAUUAUUUUUUAACCAUGUUAAGACUACUGUGCAUUUAAUGAAGCAUUAUUAUGCCACUAACUUUAAACGAUCCUACCUUACUCAAGGGUGAAGCUACAAGAUGGUAACAAUACACAAUUUGGCAUAUAGUGGAAUAACAUUUCUAGUAAUCACUUUGCCCGUGGCUUUAAACUGCAAAUGAGUUAAAGAAUAUUGUUCCCACAGAUUAAAUUUGUACUCUAUUUUCUUCUUGGAAUUUGUUAUUUGUAUUUGUGCGUAUAUAGUAUGUGUAUGUAUUUAUGCCUUAUAUGGCAUCUUUUGACUCAGGCCUACAAUAUGCAGUAAUUACAUUAGGGUAAAUAAGGUGUCCGUCACCUCUAGCAUUUAUCCUUUGUAUUACCAAAAGUGUAAUUAUAUGCUUUUGUUCAUUUUAAAAUGUACAAUUAAAUUGUUAUUGACUACAGGAUUUUUUUAUGGUUAUAAUAAUUAUACAAAAAUACAAAUAAAAUAUGUCCAGGUGCAGUGGCUCACGCCUGUAAUUCCAGCACUUUGGGAGGCCAAGGCAGGUGGAAUGCUUGAGGCUAGGGGUUCAAGACCAGCCUGGCCAACAUGGUGAAACCCCUUCUCUACUAAAAAUACAAAAAUUGACCAGGCAUCUUGGUGCACACCUGGAGGCUGAGGCAGGAGAAUUGUUUGAACCCGGGAGGUGGAGGUUGCAGUGAGCCAAGGUCGCACCACUACACUCCAGCAUAGAUGACAGAGUGAGACUUCAUUUCAAAAAAAAAAGAAAUAGAAAUAAAGUCCAUACAUUUCUGAGUCCUGAAAGUUUAUUAAUAAAUAUUUGUUACAUAGCUGUCUUUGAACAUGUGGUCUCUCUGCCUGCAAGCAUAUAGACUUUUAGUUUUAAUUUACAUAGGGUUAAAUAUACUCAUAUUACUCUGAAGAUAAACCUUAGGUGUAUGAAAAUUAUGAAGCGAGUGUUUUUGUGAGUAUGAGUUUGUACAUAUUUUCAGAAGGAAAGAGCAAUUAUUGCAACAAAACAAAUCAUUUUAAUUAGAUGAUUAACAAAACUAAACACCUUGAAAAUGCUAAAAGCAAAUCUAUACUUUCUGGUUUGUAUUCAAUUUAUUAGUGUAAAAUGUUAUGGCUUAUGAUUCGGAUUCUCCCCGGAAUCUGCUUAUUAAAGCACAGGCAACUUUGUCUCCAGAACCAACACUCUUGAAUACAACAAUAAAACCCCUCUUCAAACAAACAAAAAAAUCAUUUUAACACCUAUUUUAAUGAACAUUCAACCAGAAUUGAAUAAUUGAAUAUAUUUUUAUUGUUCUAUGUGUGUGUGAACAUAUAAAAUGGUGCAUAAAGGAAAAAUGAGCCAGAAAAAAAUGUUAGUUAAGAUUUGUAGUGAAUAAAACUGGAAAGUAGUUAAUUAUUAUAUCCAGUUGAUAUCUUUGUUUAUGUAGAUAACAAAAGCAGCAGAAAGACUUUUUUUUUUCUUUUUCAAGAUGGAGUCUUGCUCUGUCACCCAGGCUGGAGUGCAGUGGCGUGAUAGCCCACUGUAACCUCCACCUCCUGAGUUCAAGCAAUUCUUGUGCCUCAGCCAUUUUAGUAGCUGGGAUUACAGGUGUGUGCUACCACGCCCGACUAAUUUUCAUAUUUUUAGAAGAGACAGGGUUUCAUCAUGUUGGCCAGACUGGUCUCAAACAGCUGACCUCAUGAUCUGCCUGCCUCAGCCUCCCACAGUGCUGAUAUUACAGGUAUGAGCCACUGUGACAGGCAAAAGACUAUUUUAAAAGUUUAUUUAUGUGGGUAGACAACGUUCUAAGAUAAUACCCUGAAUUCCCAGUCUGUUACACACCAGCUGUGUAAUACUUUCUUCUUGAGUGUAGAAACGUGUGACUGUGGCAGGAGAAUCUCUUGAACCUGGAGGCAGAUGUUGCAGUGAGUGGAGAUGGUGCCACUGCACUCCAGCCUGGGUGACAAGAGCAAAACUCCACCUCAAAAAAAAAAAAAAAAGGAUUAUGUUUUCUGUUUUUUUCCGUGUUGACUUAUUUUACUUAGUAUAAUGUCUUUCAGGUUCAUGAAUGUUGUUGCAAAUAACAAGACCUUAUUUUUAAGGGCUGAAUAGCAUUUCAUUGUGUACACAUACCAUAUUUUCUUUUUCCAUUCACCUAUUGAUGGACACUUAGGUUGAUUUCAUACCUUAGCUAUUGUGAGUAAUCCACUUCCUUCCUUCUAUUUUGAUUUUGUUUUUGUUUUGCUUUGUUUGAGAUGGAGUCUCAUUCUGUCGCCCAUGCUGGAGUGCAGUGGCGUGAUCUCUGCUCACUGCAAACUCUGCCUCCCAGGUUCAGUGAUACUCAUGCCUAAGCCUCCUGAGUAGCUGAGGUUACAGGUGUAAGCCACCACACCAGGCUAAUUUUUGUAAUUUUAGUAGAGGCAGGCUUUCACCAUGUUCACCAGGCUGCCUUUCAUUUGUUUGUAUAUUUCUUUCUCCUUUCCCGUCUUUAUCUCUAGAAGUAUUUUAAUUUUAAUAUAUAAAUUAUGACUGUUAACCUUCAUUUCUCUGUUUUUGCAUACUAUU